rnacentral:pre_miRNA from 1 species
AAUAAGAUCAUUUUUUAGUUCUGUGAUACAAUAUUUUGACUUUUCGUCUUAUUUGAAAUUUUUUUGCGAUUAAUAUUUUUAUUCUUACUAGAUGAUAAAACAUGAAUAGUACUUUAUGCGUGACUAAUUUUUUUAAGUUUUUUAUAAAUUUUUCAAAUAAGACGAAUGGUCAAACGUUGGAUAAAAAAAAUAAAAAAUAAAAUUAUU